GCUGGGGGGUGUAUGGUGUGUGUGUAUAUGUGCUUGUGCAUUGUGCAUGCAAAUCUGUAUGCCUGUGCACUCCUGUGCAAAGAGAGGAGAAGGGCCUUCAGUGUCCUUUUCUAUCAAGCUCCACUUAAUUCCCUUGAGACAGGUCUCACAGAGACCCUGAAACUCACCAUUUUCCAGCAGGCCCCAGAGCUCCUCCCAACCCCCUCGGCCUUCUCUUCCAGGUUAAAACAAGGUCCAAGAAACACUGGGACCUUGCCCUUAGUUCCCUGACCUACACUGAGUGUGACAAUGGGAUUUCCCUCUAGGAGCUGUUGUGAGGACCAUCGGCUACCACACCAUUGUAAUUAAUAUUGAUAUCAUUUGUACAUGAUAUUGAAAAGCUUUGAGGUCACAGUGUGAUGAUGACCUGAUUAAACAGGUUUGAACAUACUGGGGGUUCAAACCCAGCUAUUCACGCCUAUGUAACAUGUCUCUACCACCAGACCCCACCCUGCUUUUUCUUUUCUUUUCUUUUCCUCUUCUUCUUCUUCUUUUUUUUUUUUUUUGGAUACAGGAUUCAUAGUUGUCCUGCCAAAAAGAAUCUCUGACUCCAAGGAUGUUUUCUCAAGGGAUUCCCGCCCGCACUGCCAGUUACCAUCAGCAGGACUCCUGACUGCCUGACUCCACUCCAUUUCUCAUGGAAGCCAGAAGGUAGUGCAGGCUGUCCCCACCCCCAGGGUGACAAAGCUGUGAUGAGGAGCCACCCCAGAAGAGGGAACUGGCACCUCAGCCUGAGAACUGGCCCUAUGGCUAACCGAGUAGAGGAAGCUUAAUUCUUUCUUUUUUAAUUUUGCAUUUUAUUUUAAAUUUUUAUUAUUAAAAUACAACAAACAUAUCAAUAAUAUUGAGUAUUUUGAGAAUCAAAUAAUAUAUAAAAAAUUUGUUCAACUUUUAUAUUCAUAUCCUUUCAUACCCUAAAAGCAUCAUUAAUGAAUAUUUAAUACUGUCCAUAACUGAGGAUUCUGUAUCUAAUGUUGAAUACUAAAUUGUUUCAAAACAUACAAAAUAUUUCUUGGGAAUUAGGCAUAGUAAAAGAGCAUAAAAUAUUAAAAAUGAAUCAUUAAGAAAUACAUUCAAAAGUCCUUAUAUGAUACCACCUGACAUAGUGAGAGAGUAUUUAAAACUCAUUCUAUAUCUGUGUACAUGGUCUAACAAUCCGCUUAUUUAAGCAAGAUUAUCAGUGUUUCUAGGAGAGAAAUUAUUUUAUCAGUAAGCAUAUUUUAAAAAUUUCAAAAUAGCAAAAACUUUGAAGUUAAACAUUAAGAAAAUGCUAAUUUUAAGCAUGAGAAAAAUUAUUAAUACUAUUUCCAUGGUGUUUGUAGACCAUGACCGUAAUAUUCUCAACUGUUAAUAUUCAACAGACAGAAUAGUUAUUUUAAGAUAUAUUUCAUUGUUUUCUCUCCCUUUUCAUUUCUGAUUUUAUUAAUUUGGAUUCUGAACUCUGUGCCCUCUGGUUAGUCUGGCUAAUGGUUUAUCUUGUUGAUUUUCUCAAAGAACCAACUCCUGGUUUUGUUGAUUCUUUGCCUAGUUCUUUUUGUUUCUCUUUGGUUGAUUUCAGCCCUGAGUUUGAUUAGGAAACUUAAUUCUUAGAGAGGCGCCUUCCCCACUACGCCUGUUGCUACUAGAGAGGCAACUCUUCCCUUUCCACAGAGCCCCUGACAGACCUGAGGAGAGUGGGUGCCAGUGAGUCCUGAGUCUCCUGCACAGUCCCUGCCUUCCCUUUAUCUGCAGCCUGGGCAUUCUUGACUCUUGUCUGACAUCUCCCACCCCCUUCACAGUCUAAGAGUUGGUAAUUAAUUAGCCUUGACCUUAACCUUUGACACCACCCAGCCAUCCAGAUGGGUUAUCCACACCUGGUAACUGACCUGGGGUCACCCCUCCACUCUGCCCAGCUGCCGCCCUACUGGGCUGAAUUUUAUGUUUGCUUGUCUUUCUCUGAAUCAGAUUUUUUUCUGGUCACUUACUAUAGCUGACAGCUCCAUGCUGGCAUCACUCUUCAGUCUGAAACCUACAGCUUUUUUUCCUCCCUUACUCUGAUAUACUUUCUUCAUUUGCUUUUCCCAUUGGGCCCAAGAAUGGAGAUCAGGGUGUGCUGUCUUUGAAUCAAGGUGGAAAUGUGUCUACAGAGUCCCCUCCCUGCCCCGGGUAUCCUGAGCUACUGAGCUAAGCAAUGUGGUAAAGGAUUCUGUCCUGGGCUGACCCAGGCUCUACAGCUAGCAAUACAGAUUCCCCUUGACCCCAGGGUUUCCUCCAGGGAGCCCAGCAUCCUCCCUAUGAGCUGCUCCUCCUGCUCACAUUCUUUAGCUGAUGCUUUUGUGCUGGGUUCUAUCCUUGUGGUUUUCUGCAUUUAUUGGGGGCUUUCUGCAUUCCUCGCUCUGAGGUUGCCAUUUGAACAGCUCUCUGGUCACCCUGGCUAGAAUUCGGCAGCUCUUCUCCCAUGUUGGCUGGUACACCCUGCUUCCUGCCAGGACCCUGCUGCUCUCGGGGUGGAUCUGGGCUAAGCUCCAGAAGACACAAUUCCCAGCUCUGACUCCAUCCACAUGCCCAGAUGUUCCUCUGCUCAUUUCUCCUCUCUUCUCUUCCAAAGCCAGGGAGCAUCUUGAGUGAGAGAAGGCACAAGCGGGUCCACAGCACUCAUUCGGUCCAUUUCCUCUCAAAAACUUUGUAGCAAACACAAGGGUGGGCGUGGAGAGCAGAUUCCUCCCAACUUGGAGGGGCCUCACAAGCCAGCGCUGCAGGCCUUCACUCCCAUAUCAUCUCUGACCAUUUGGUAGUGACUGACCUGGCUACGACAUCUGUGCUUAAGAAGAGUGUGCAAUGAGGGAUUCUCAGUGCCUUUGGAGCUCAAUAUUUUACUGGUCUAUAAGCAACCUGCUACUUACGUUCCAAGCUGAGAACCUAGCCGCCACACAUACAGCAGUGUGUUCGAAGCCACAGUUGAGCAGGGCAGAUCUGAGGAUGAAAUCCAGGUUGUCCAGCCUUUCCUACUGGUGUCUUUAAAGCUGAAAGCUGGUCUCUUAGGAGGUCAGAUGACUGCCUGCCUCCCAGUCUGUGUCUAUUGCUAGCUACCCGGAGUGCAGGAAAGGGGGAGAGGUGGGCUGGAUAGGGCAGACAGGGUAUGAAGGCAGAACACAAAUAGAAGCUGCAGGAGGAGCCAGCACACUGGGUGUGAACCUUGGAGACACAGCAGAGCCAGAGAUCAGAGCCCCUGGGAAUGCCAGUUGGGGUGGGGGUGGGGGGUGUGGUGAGGUGGGGUGGGGGGCUGCCGAAACUGCUGCUGGGGGUGGGGGUGGGGGGUGGAAGGAUAUUUCACGGGGCCAGAGAAAAGGAGUCCAUUGGCCUUAGUAAAGGGACAACAUCUUGUUUUAUUAAAAGCCUGUUGCUGGCUGGAUAAGCCGUCUGCCUGCUGAGUGGGCAGGGGCCCAAUAUUACUGUGGCUAAUUCGGAGCCAGUGUUGGAGAGCUGACAUCAAACCAGGAAACGCUCGCGCGCGCGGCUCUCUCCCUCUCCGGCUCUCCCUCUCCCUCCCUCCGCCUCCUCUUCUCUCAUUCUUGAGCUUGAAUCUACUGUGCAUGAUAUGUGUGCAUGUGUGUCCGUGUGUCUCUCUGUGUGUGACAUUAUGUACACUUGCUGGGAGUUCACCCCAUGGCUCCCUCCUCCUCUUCCUGUCCUCUACUCCCUCUGCCAAGCACCCCAGCCCCACCUUUGCCCCUGGCCUCCUCAGUCUCCGCCCCCAGAAGACUUGAACAGAGAAGACCCAGACUAUGGCCUGGGGUUAUUUACUGAGACGCCUGGGGAGGAAAGUUUCGAAAUGACCAAACCCACCCCUUUCCAGAUCUCCAUUUGUAGGUUAAAAGAAAAAGUAAAGGAAGUCAUUUCAAAAGAAACCAGGAGGAAAGCGGCUCUCUUCGGCAGCAUGUGUGAUUAUUAUUAAUAUUAGACUUGUUUAAGGCAAGGGAAAAAUGUAAAAUGGCUUUUUUCCUGUUUUUAUCGUAGUUUUUUGUUGUUGUUGGUUUUGUUUUUUGUUUUUUUGUUUUUUUGUUUUUUUUUUUCCUUUUUUCUUCUACUGUCUUGGGAGUCAGAAGGGCAAACAGUAAUUUCAGAGUAAGAUGGAAGCCAUCAUCUCCUUAGUUCAUGUGAUGUCUUUCUGGGAAUUGGGAGAGUGAAUGAGUUUCAUGUAAACGCCUAUAAUCACUUUUCCUGCUAAGGUUUUAGAGGACUCUGAGUCUCCCAAUUUGCUGUAACUUAAAGUCACCCAAAUUGCUUCCACUUUUACC
rnacentral:lncRNA from 1 species